UACGUAGGGUGCAAGCGUUAAUCGGAAUUACUGGGCGUAAAGCGUGCGCAGGCGGUUGUGCAAGACAGAUGUGAAAUCCCCGGGCUCAACCUGGGAAUUGCAUUUGUGACUGCACGGCUAGAGUGUGUCAGAGGGGGGGUAGAAUUCCACGUGUAGCAGUGAAAUGCGUAGAGAUGUGGAGGAAUACCGAUGGCGAAGGCAGCCGUCCUGGGCCAAACACUGACGCUCAUGCACGAAAGCGUGGGGAGCAAACAGG
rnacentral:rRNA from 1 species